rnacentral:rRNA from 1 species
AGGUUUGAUCAUGGCUCAGGAUGAACGCUAGCGACAGGCUUAACACAUGCAAGUCGAGGGGCAGCAUGAUUUGUAGCAAUACAGAUUGAUGGCGACCGGCGCACGGGUGAGUAACGCGUAUGCAACUUACCUAUCAGAGGGGGAUAGCCCGGCGAAAGUCGGAUUAAUACCCCAUAAAACAGGGGUCCCGCAUGGGAAUAUUUGUUAAGGAUUCAUCGCUGAUAGAUAGGCAUGCGUUCCAUUAGGCAGUUGGCGGGGUAACGGCCCACCAAACCGACGAUGGAUAGGGGUUCUGAGAGGAAGGUCCCCCACAUUGGUACUGAGACACGGACCAAACUCCUACGGGAGGCAGCAGUGAGGAAUAUUGGUCAAUGGCCGAGAGGCUGAACCAGCCAAGUUGCGUGAAGGAAGAAGGAUCUAUGGUUUGUAAACUUCUUUUAUAGGGGAAUAAAGUGGAGGACGUGUCCUUUUU